rnacentral:rRNA from 1 species
UGGCUCAGGAUGAACGCUAGCGACAGGCCUAACACAUGCAAGUCGAGGGGCAUCGGGGCGAGGAGCAAUCCUUGCCGCCGGCGACCGGCGCACGGGUGAGUAACGCGUAUGCGACCUGCCCGUUGCAGGGGGAUAAUCGGGAGAAAUCCCGUCUAAUACCGCGUAAUGCCGCGGGGCUGCAUGGCCCUGCGGCCAAAGGGAGCGAUUCCGGCAACGGAUGGGCAUGCGUGACAUUAGCUAGUUGGCGGGGCAACGGCCCACCAAGGCGACGAUGUCUAGGGGUUCUGAGAGGAAGGUCCCCCACACUGGUACUGAGACACGGACCAGACUCCUACGGGAGGCAGCAGUGAGGAAUAUUGGUCAAUGGGCGCGAGCCUGAACCAGCCAAGUCGCGGGAGGGAUGACGGCCCUACGGGUUGUAAACCUCUUUUGUCGGGGAGCAAAUUCCGCCACGUGUGGCGGAGUCGAGAGUACCCGAAGAAAAAGCAUCGGCUAACCUCCGUGCCAGCAGCCGCGGUAAUACGGAGGAUGCGAGCGUUAUCCGGAUUUAUUGGGUUUAAAGGGUGCGGUAGGCGGACUGUCAAGUCAGCGGUAAAAAUACGGGGGCUCAACCUCCCGCCCGCCGCUGGAAACUGACGGUCUUAGGGGGGGCGAAGAAGUUUGCGGAAUGCGUGUGUUGCGUGUGAUUGCCAUUAUAUCACGGCUAAACUCCGAAUUGUCAAGGCCGCUUAUCGGGGCCCAACUGGCUGUUGAUUUUCUUAAGGGUGGGGAUCCUAACGGAAUAGAUUCUCUUGUUUUCC